rnacentral:rRNA from 1 species
CCUACGGGAGGCAGCAGUGAGGAAUAUUGGUCAAUGGACGAGAGUCUGAACCAGCCAAGUAGCGUGAAGGAUGACUGCUCUAUGGGUUGUAAACUUCUUUUAUAUGGGAAUAAACUGUUCCACGUGUGGGCUUUUGUAUGUACCCUAUGAAUAAGGAUCGGCUAACUCCGUGCCAGCAGCCGCGGUAAUACGGAGGAUCCGAGCGUUAUCCGGAUUUAUUGGGUUUAAAGGGUGCGUAGGUGGAUUGUUAAGUCAGUUGUGAAAGUUUGCGGCUCAACCGUAAAAUUGCAUUUGAAACUGGCAGUCUUGAAUACAGAAGAGGUAGGCGGAAUGCGUGGUGUAGCGGUGAAAUGCUUAGAUAUCACGAAGAACUCCGAUUGCGAAGGCAGCUCACUGGACUGCAACUGACACUGAGGCUCGAAAGUGUGGGUAUCAAACAGGAUUAGAUACCCGUGUAGUC